rnacentral:rRNA from 1 species
AACGAACGCUGGCGGCGUGGAUAAGACAUGCAAGUCGAACGCUUGUACCGGGGUAGCAAUAUUUCGGUGCAGGAGUGGCGCAAGGGUGCGUAACACGUGGGUCAUUUGCCGUGAAGCUGGGAACAACUCGUUGAAAGACGAGCUAAUACCCAAUGUGCUCCGCAAGGAGUAAAGCCGGGGACCGCAAGGCCUGGCACUUUACGAUAAGCCCGCGGCCUAUCAGCUAGUUGGCGGGGUAAAAGCCCACCAAGGCUAAGACGGGUAGCUGGUCUGAGAGGACGACCAGCCACACUGGAACUGAGACACGGUCCAGACACCUACGGGUGGCAGCAGUCGAGAAUUUUUCACAAUGGGCGAAAGCCUGAUGGAGCGACGCCGCGUGGGGGAUGAAGGGCUUCGGCUCGUAAACCCCUGUCAUUCGCGAACAAAGGUGCCGGCCUAACAUGCCGUCGCCUGAUAGUAGCGGAAGAGGAAGGGACGGCUAACUCUGUGCCAGCCGCCGCAGUAAGAC